GUGCUCGCUUCAGCAGGCACAUCUACGGAAAUUGGAAUGAUACAGAGAAGAUUAGCAGGGCCCCUGCACAAGGAUGACACACAAAUUUGUGAAGCAUUCCAUAUUUUU